rnacentral:rRNA from 1 species
GCUCAGAUUGAACGCUGGCGGCAGGUCUAACACAUGCAAGUCGAACGGUAACAGGAAGAAGCUUGCUUCUUUGCUGACGAGUGGCGGACGGGUGAGUAAUGUCUGGGAAACUGCCUGAUGGAGGGGGAUAACUACUGGAAACGGUAGCUAAUACCGCAUAACGUCGCAAGACCAAAGAGGGGGACCUUCGGGCCUCUUGCCAUCGGAUGUGCCCAGAUGGGAUUAGCUAGUAGGUGGGGUAACGGCUCACCUAGGCGACGAUCCCUAGCUGGUCUGAGAGGAUGACCAGCCACACUGGAACUGAGACACGGUCCAGACUCCUACGGGAGGCACCAGUA